rnacentral:rRNA from 1 species
AUUGAACGCUGGCGGCAGGCCUAACACAUGCAAGUCGAGCGGAUGAAGGGAGCUUGCUCCUGGAUUCAGCGGCGGACGGGUGAGUAAUGCCUAGGAAUCUGCCUGGUAGUGGGGGAUAACGUCCGGAAACGGGCGCUAAUACCGCAUACGUCCUGAGGGAGAAAGUGGGGGAUCUUCGGACCUCACGCUAUCAGAUGAGCCUAGGUCGGAUUAGCUAGUUGGUGGGGUAAAGGCCUACCAAGGCGACGAUCCGUAACUGGUCUGAGAGGAUGAUCAGUCACACUGGAACUGAGACACGGUCCAGACUCCUACGGGAGGCAGCAGUGGGGAAUAUUGGACAAUGGGCGAAGGCCUGAUCCAGCCAUGCCGCGUGUGUGAAGAAGGUCUUCGGAUUGCAAAGCACUUUAAGUUGGGAGGAAGGGCAGUAAGUUAAUACCUUGCUGUUUUGACGUUACCAACAGAAUAAGCACCGGCUAACUUCGUG